AAGUCGUAACAAGGUCUCCGUAGGUGAACCUGCGGAGGGAUCAUUAACAAACAUUUUAUUGUCCCUGUGCAAAUGUCUGUUCCUGGGAGCGGUCGGGCGAUCGAGCGAUCGGGCGAUCGAGCGCACCCAGGACACCACACACACACACUACCAGAUGAUGAUGCAUGGGAACGCAAACAACUUUUAACAAUGGAUCUCUAGGCUCUC
rnacentral:misc_RNA from 1 species